UACCCUUGACAUGUCCGGAAUCCCGAAGAGAUUUGGGAGUGCUCGCAAGAGAACCGGAACACAGGUGCUGCAUGGCUGUCGUCAGCUCGUGUCGUGAGAUGUUGGGUUAAGUCCCGCAACGAGCGCAACCCUUGUCAUUAGUUGCCAUCAUUUGGUUGGGCACUCUAAUGAGACUGCCGGUGACAAACCGGAGGAAGGUGGGGAUGACGUCAAGUCCUCAUGGCCCUUAUGGUAGGGCUUCACACGUCAUACAAUGGUCGGUACAGAGGGUUGCCAACCCGCGAGGGGGAGGCUAAUCCCACAAAGCCGAUCGUAGUCCGGAUCGCAGUCUGCAACUCGACUGCGUGAAGUCGGAAUCGCUAGUAAUCGUGGAUCAGCAUGUCACGGUGAAUACGUUCCCGGGUCUU
rnacentral:rRNA from 1 species